rnacentral:rRNA from 1 species
GAUGAAUGCUGGCGGCGUGCCUUACACAUGCAAGUCGAGCGGCAGCGAGGGGUGCUUGCACCCUGUCGGCGAGCGGCGAACGGCUGAGUAACGCGUAGGAAUUUGCCCCAAAGUGAGGAAUAACUGCCCGAAAGGGUAGCUAAUGCCGCAUAUGGUCUUCGGAUUAAAGGAUUUAUCCGCUUUGGGAGAAGCCUGCGUUGGAUUAGGUUGUUGGUAGGGUAAUGGCCUACCAAGCCGACGAUCCAUAGCUGGUCUGAGAGGAUGAUCAGCCAGACUGGAACUGAGACACGGUCCAGACUCCUACGGGAGGCAGCAGUGAGGAAUCUUCCACAAUGGGCGAAAGCCUGAUGGAGCAACGCCGCGUGAAGGAUGAAGGCCUUCGGGUUGUAAACUUCUUUUAUGAGUGAAGAAUAUGACGGUAACUCAUGAAUAAGCACCGGCUAACUACGUG